rnacentral:rRNA from 1 species
CGGGAGGCAGCAGUAGGGAAUUUUCCGCAAUGGGCGCAAGCCUGACGGAGCAACGCCGCGUGAGUGAGGACGGCUUUCGGGUUGUAAAACUCUGUUCUUCGGGAAGAACGGUGGUCGGGUGAAUAGCCCGAUUG